rnacentral:rRNA from 1 species
CAGCAGCCGCGGGAAUACGUAGGGUGCGAGCGUUAAUCGGAAUUACUUGGCGUAAAGCGUGCGCAGGCGGUUCGUUAAGACAGAUGUGAAAUCCCCGGGCUUAACCUGGGAACUGCAUUUGUGACUGGCGAGCUAGAGUAUGGCAGAGGGGGGUAGAAUUCCACGUGUAGCAGUGAAAUGCGUAGAGAUGUGGAGGAAUACCGAUGGCGAAGGCAGCCCCCUGGGAUAACACUGACGCUCAUGCACGAAAGCGUGGGGAGCAAACAGGAUUAGAUACCCGCGUAGUCCCUGUCUCUUAUAC